GACGAACGCUGGCGGCGUGCUUAACACAUGCAAGUCGAACGGUGAAGCGCCUUCUUUUUUGGUGGGUGUGGUUGAGAGGCGAACGGGAGCGUAACACGUGCGUAACCUGCCCCCUUCUUCUGGAUAACCGCAUGAAAGUGUGGCUAAUACGGGAUAUUCUGGGUCUGUCGCAUGAUGGGUCUGGGAAAGAUGUUGUUUCGGUGCGGGAUGGGCUCGCGGCCUAUCAGCGUGUUGGUGGGGUGAUGGCCUACCAAGGCGGUGACGGGUAGCCGGCCUGAGUGGGUGUGAGACACCGCUGGGACUGCUAUACGAGGCAGCAGUGUGCAGGAUUGCGCAGUGGGGACUAGCGUGAAGCGGGCGCGCGGCUGGUGCAGUGGAGCCCUUCGGGGGAUGAACGUCUUUGGCUAGUAAAGCGGUUCUGCCUCGGUUGAGGGGGGAGUGACGGUAGCUGGUAAAGAAGCGCCGGCUAACUACGUG
rnacentral:rRNA from 1 species